rnacentral:misc_RNA from 1 species
AGCAGCCGCGGUAAUUCCAGCUCCAAUAGCGUAUAUUAAAGUUGUUGCAGUUAAAAAGCUCGUAGUUGAAUUUCGGGAUUGACACAUCGGUCGUGCCUUAAGGGGUAUGAACUGGUGUAGUCAAUUUCUCACCUUCUGGAGAACCGCGAUGCCCUUAAUUGGGUGCCGCGGGGAACCAGGACCUUUACUUUGAAAAAUUAGAGUGUUUAAAGCAGGCAUUUUGCUUGAAUACAUUAGCAUGGAAUAAUAAAAUAGGACGGCAUGAUUCUAUCUUGUUGGUUUCUAGGAUCACCGUAAUGAUUAAUAGGGAUAGUUGGGGGCAUUAGUAUUCAAUUGUCAGAGGUGAAAUUCUUGGAUUUAUUGAAGACUAACUACUGCGAAAGCAUUUGCCAAGGAUGUUUUCAUUAAUCAAGAACGAAAGUUAGGGGAUCGAAGACGAUCAGAUACCGUCGUAGUCUUAACCAUAAACUAUGCCGACUAGGAAUCAGACGAUGUUAAUUUUUAAUGACUCGUUUGGCAC